rnacentral:rRNA from 1 species
AGGGUGACGAGGUGGUGCAUGGUUGUCGUCAGCUCGUGUCGUGAGAUGUUGGUUAAGUCCCGCAACGAGCGCAACCCUCGACCUUAGUUGCCAGCAUUCAGUUGGGCACUCUAAGGUGACUGCCGGCUAAAAGUCGGAGGAAGGUGGGGAUGACGUCAAAUCAUCAUGCCCCUUAUGACCUGGGCUACACACGUGCUACAAUGGGCGGGUACAAAGGGUCGCGAACCCGCGAGGGGGAGCCAAUCCCAAAAAGCCGCUCUCAGUUCGGAUUGCAGGCUGCAACUCGCCUGCACGAAGCCGGAAUCGCUAGUAAUCGCGGAUCAGCAUGCCGCGGUGAAUACGUUCCCGGGCCUU